rnacentral:rRNA from 1 species
GACGUAGGGUGCGAGCGUUGUCCGGAUUUAUUUGGCGUAAAGAGCUCGUAGGCGGCUCGUCGCGUCGACCGUGAAAACCCGCGGCUUAACUGCGGGCUUGCGGUUGAUACGGGCGGGCUAGAGUUCGGUAGGGGAGACUGGAAUUCCUGGUGUAGCGGUGAAAUGCGCAGAUAUCAGGAGGAACACCGGUGGCGAAGGCGGGUCUCUGGGCCGAUACUGACGCUGAGGAGCGAAAGCGUGGGGAGCGAACAGG